rnacentral:rRNA from 1 species
GGAAACUGACGGAACUCUUCGGAGGGAAGGCAGUGGAAUGAGCGGCGGACGGGUGAGUAACACGUAAGGAACCUGCCUCAAGGAUUGGGAUAACUCCGAGAAAUCGGAGCUAAUACCGGAUAGUUCAACGGACCGCAUGGUCCGCUGAUGAAAGGCGCUUCGGCGUCACCUUGAGAUGGCCUUGCGGUGCAUUAGCUAGUUGGUGGGGUAAUGGCCCACCAAGGCGACGAUGCAUAGCCGACCUGAGAGGGUGAUCGGCCACACUGGGACUGAGACACGGCCCAGACUCCUACGGGAGGCAGCAGUAGGGAAUCUUCCACAAUGGACGAAAGUCUGAUGGAGCAACGCCGCGUGAGUGAUGAAGGUUUUCGGAUCGUAAAACUCUGUUGUAAGGGAAGAACACGUACGAGAGGUAAUGCUCGUACCUUGACGGUACCUUACGAGAAAGCCACGGCUAACUACGUGCCAGCAGCCGCGGUAAUACGUAGGUGGCAAGCGUUGUCCGGAAUUAUUGGGCGUAAAGCGCGCGCAGGCGGCCUUUUAAGUCUGAUGUGAAAGCCCCCGGCUCAACCGGGGAGGGCCAUUGGAAACUGGAAGGCUUGAGUACAGAAGAGAAGAGUGGAAUUCCACGUGUAGCGGUGAAAUGCGUAGAGAUGUGGAGGAACACCAGUGGCGAAGGCGACUCUUUGGUCUGUAACUGACGCUGAGGC